GACGAACGCUGGCGGCGUGCUUAACACAUGCAAGUCGAACGAUGAAGCCUAGCUUGCUAGGUGGAUUAGUGGCGAACGGGUGAGUAAUACGUGAGUGACCUACCUUUGACUCUGGGAUAAGCCUGGGAAACUGGGUCUAAUACCGGAUACGACCAAUCUCCGCAUGGGGUGUUGGUGGAAAGCGUUAUGGAGUGGUUUUAGAUGGGCUCACGGCCUAUCAGCUUGUUGGUGAGGUAAUGGCUUACCAAGGCGACGACGGGUAGCCGGCCUGAGAGGGUGACCGGCCACACUGGGACUGAGACACGGCCCAGACUCCUACGGGAGGCAGCAGUGGGGAAUAUUGCACAAUGGGCGCAAGCCUGAUGCAGCGACGCCGCGUGAGGGAUGACGGCCUUUCGGGUUGUAAACCUCUGUUAGCAUCGAAGAAGCGAAAGUGACGGUAGGUGCAGAGAAAGCGCCGCUAACUACCCA
rnacentral:rRNA from 1 species